UACAGAGGGUGCAAGCGUUAAUCGGAAUUACUGGGCGUAAAGGGCGCGUAGGCGGCGGGGUAAGUCUGGUGUGAAAUCUCGGAGCUCAACUCCGAAAUUGCACUGGAUACUGCUCUGCUAGAGGGCUGGAGAGGAGAUCGGAAUUCACGGUGUAGCAGUGAAAUGCGUAGAGAUCGGGAGGAACACCAGAGGCGAAGGCGGCGACCUGGACAGUUACUGACACUCAACUACGAAAGCGUGGGGAGCAAACAGG
rnacentral:rRNA from 1 species